rnacentral:rRNA from 1 species
AUUGAACGCUGGCGGCAUGCCUUACACAUGCAAGUCGAACGGUAACAGGUCUUCGGAUGCUGACGAGUGGCGAACGGGUGAGUAAUACAUCGGAACGUGCCUAGUAGUGGGGGAUAACUACUCGAAAGAGUGGUUAAUACCGCAUGAGAUCUACGGAUGAAAGCAGGGGAUCGCGAGACCUUGUGCUACUAGAGCGGCCGAUGGCCGAUUAGGUAGUUGGUGGGAUAAAAGCUUACCAAGCCGACGGUCUGUAGCUGGUCUGAGAGGACGAUCAGCCACACUGGGACUGAGACACGGCCCAGACUCCUACGGGAGGCAGCAGUGGGGAAUUUUGGACAAUGGGCGCAAGCCUGAUCCAGCAAUGCCGCGUGCAGGAUGAAGGCCUUCGGGUUGUAAACUGCUUUUGUACGGAACGAAAAGCCCUGGGUUAAUACCCUGGGGUCAUGACGGUACCGUAAGAAUAAGCACCGGCUAACUACGUGCCAGCAGCCGCAGUAA